rnacentral:rRNA from 1 species
GGCCGCGGGAAUUCGAUUCAGGCCUAACACAUGCAAGUCGAGCGGACCGAUGGGAGCUUGCUCCCUUAGGUCAGCGGCGGACGGGUGAGUAACACGUGGGUAACCUGCCUGUAAGACUGGGAUAACUCCGGGAAACCGGGGCUAAUACCGGAUGCUUGAUUGAACCGCAUGGUUCAAUCAUAAAAGGUGGCUUUUAGCUACCACUUACAGAUGGACCCGCGGCGCAUUAGCUAGUUGGUGAGGUAACGGCUCACCAAGGCGACGAUGCGUAGCCGACCUGAGAGGGUGAUCGGCCACACUGGGACUGAGACACGGCCCAAACUCCUACGGGGGGCAGCAGUAGGGAAUCUUCCGCAGUGGACGAAAGUCUGACGGAGCAAAGGCGCGUGAGUGAUGAAGGUUUUCGGAUCGUAAAACUAUAGGGUUAGGGAAGAACAAGUACCGUUCGAAUAGGGCGGUACCUGAC